CCCUUCUCCUCAGAUCCAUCCGCUCUCUCCCACCACAGACGACGCCUCUGUGGCUGCCGCUCCCUCCCCAUCCUCCGUGGCCACCCCUCCGGCUAGUGCUCCGGCUGCGGCGGCUGCGGGGCCUCCGUGGCCACCCCUCCGGCUAGUGCUCCGGCUGCGGCGGCUGCGGGGCCAGCAGCGGCGAAAGGAGGGCGAGGCCCUUCGCGUGGAUAUCGGCGCCCUGCAGCCCCCCUAGCAGGUGCCGCGGCCUCCCGUCCCCACCUAGCAGGAUGGGCAUGGCGGCGGAUCUGCUCCCCACCAAGCCGAGGCGCCUCUUGCUGCCCAACGCGGCGGUGCUCCCUCGCCGAGUGGGUGCGGCGACGGCCCCAACACUAGGUAGCCAGGCCGAUCGUGCGACGCCGCGGCUGCCACGCCAGGCGUGCGAGGCUGCAUCUGCCGCGCGGGGCCAGUGAGGCAGCAGCUUCCGCGCCAGGCGUGCGAGGCAGCAACCCAUCGGCGCGCGCGUGGGGCAGGGCGCCUCUGCUCCCCACCGGCGCGCGUGGGGCGGGGCGCCUCUACUCCCCAUCGGCGCACGUGGGGCGGGGCGCUGCUACUCCCCAUCGGCCCGGGCUCCAUCCGCCUUGACGCCGACUCCGUUCUGUCGUCUUUGACACAGUUUGAAUCGGGCCCCUUAGUCCCUUACUUUCCCUCCCCCUCCCCUGCACCCCAUCCGCUAGCACGCGAAGCUCACCGGCAAGGGCAUGCUGCUGACGCAGGGGAUGCACGGCCUAGGUAGUAGGAUGGCGACCAGAUUCGUCGACGGUGGCGCAGCUUGCGUCCGACCACACGGCACAGUUCUUCAUCGCAAGCGACGAGAGGUUCCAGAGGCUGGUGGGGUCACUUGCAGGUGCGCUCACUUGCAGAUGCAAUGCUGCCUGAGGUUGAGGACAGGAUGCAGGAAGGAGCAAGCACUUAGAAGAGAUUGGUUGAGGAUAAGAUGCUAGUAACAAGCAAAAACAAGCAAAAACAAGAAGAGAUAACUUAUGUUGUGUCUUAUUUUGUGUGCUUUGUACCGGAUUCUGUCAUUCUAUGCGUGUUUGGUAUGGUAGCUCAAAAAUGAUUUUGCUACCUAUUUUUAUUUUAGAAUAUUUAUAUUUUGGGCUGUUAAAAUGGGCUUAGCCCUCAUAUUAUAUAAUUGGAUUGGCCUCCAAAUUUAUGGACUA